GUUCUCUCAGCUGCUUCAAGAAGCCCCGGUUUGGCAAGAUGCAUCGAUGUUUUGAGACUUGCUCUAUGGCAUCCACUAUCGUCAUGUUCUUGUAGAUCAUCAGGUGCAGAAGCUGAGGCUGUAAAUCUGAUCGGGGUAAUCGAACACCGUGUACAUUGGAGAUCACCCGUUUCAUCCUAAACCAGUGCGUUAUCAAUGAAUUGAGAAGCUGAAUAAAAGAACUGGCUGAGCUGGAAAGUGGGGAGAUCAUCGGCUUCCACCCCAUGGUACUCCACAACCAUGUCCUUGUAAUAUCCUGGUCCUGUG